rnacentral:tRNA from 1 species
GGGGUUGUGGCUCAGUGGUAGAGCGCUUGCCUAGCAUGCGUGAGGCACUGGGUUUGAUUCUCAGCACCA